rnacentral:rRNA from 1 species
AGGACGAACGCUGGCGGCGUGCUUAACACAUGCAAGUCGAACGAUGAAAUUCUGACGGAGACUUCGGUCAACUGAGGGAUGGAUUAGUGGCGGACGGGUGAGUAACGCGUGGGCAACCUGCCUUUCAGAGUGGAAUAACAUUUGGAAACGAAUGGUAAUACCGCAUAAUGUCAUGGAACCACAUGGUUCUAUGACCAAAGGAGCAAUCCGCUGAAAGAUGGGCUCGCGUCCGAUUAGCUAGUUGGAGAGGUAACGGCUCCCCAAGGCGACGAUCGGUAGCCGGACUGAGAGGUUGAACGGCCACAUUGGGACUGAGACACGGCCCAGACUCCUACGGGAGGCAGCAGUGGGGAAUAUUGCACAAUGGGGGAAACCCUGAUGCAGCAACGCCGCGUGAAGGAUGAAGGUUUUCGGAUCGUAAACUUCUAUCAACAGGGAAGAAUAAUGACGGUACCUGAAUAAGAAGCCCCGGCUAACUACGUG